GGCUCUGCAAACACAAACUUUCUCAAACAGGGAAUUUCUCCCCCUGGGCUCCCAGGGCAAGUGGAACAUUCCAUUUAAAGGGUGAACCAGGAACAGGUGAGCGUCCAGUGCAGCCAGGAGACAGGACUCAGAGACACAGGUGGGAGGAGUGUGGCUGAACCACACAUGCCGCCCAUGUCCACCUCUGACAUGUCCUGCCAACCUGCCCGAGGGCUCUCUGCUUCCUGUGCCCUGACCCCAAAAUGUCAGCACGGUGGGAUAUAGCUCAGGGACACGUGAAGAGGCCAGGCAAACAAUAGGGACCUUUCCAGGAAGCUCGGCGGAAGAGAGUUGCCUGUGAGCUUGGGAGGAGAGCCAGGUGGGGAGUUCUGGCGACUGCAUGGAGAGCAUCUCAGAGCACAGUGAACCCCAACCGCACCAUCAGGAGCCAUUCUGGCAUUUGAAGCUGAGUUUCAAUAACGGGCCAAGAGCCAGGCCACAAACAGAGCUGCUGAGAGGGUGUCCCAGAGGCAUAAAGAUGCUGGUAAUUUUCUGCUGAUAAUGUGAGUAGCUGGGCUUAGUGUACGUGACUCCUCCACGCCAGUACUCCGGCCUGUCUUCCUAGAACUGGGUUGUUGGAAAUGGGGCAGAGAGGCCCCAGCCCCCUCUUGGGUGAACCUGCCAAAUA